UACGGGAGGCAGCAGGGGGAAUAUUGCACAAUGGGCGCAAGCCUGAUGCAGCCAUGCCGCGUGUAUGAAAAAGGCCUUCGGGUUGUAAAGUACUUUCAGUCGUGAGGAAGGUGUUAAGGUUAAUAACCUUAGCAAUUGACGUUAGCGACAGAAGAAGCACCGGCUAACUCCGUGCCAGCAGCCGCGGUAAUACGGAGGGUGCGAGCGUUAAUCGGAAUUACUGGGCGUAAAGGGCACGCAGGCGGUUAAUUAAGUUGGAUGUGAAAUCCCCGGGCUUAACCUGGGAAUGGCAUUCAAGACUGGUUAGCUAGAGUCUUGUAGAGGGGGUUAGAAUUCCAUGUGUAGCGGUGAAAUGCGUAGAGAUGUGGAGGAAUACCGGUGGCGAAGGCGGCCCCUGGACAAAGACUGACGCUCAUGUGCGAAAGCGUGGGGAGCAAACAGGGAUUAGAUA
rnacentral:rRNA from 1 species